AUUGAACGCUGGCGGCAUGCUUUACACAUGCAAGUCGAACGGUAACAGGCCUUCGGGUGCUGACGAGUGGCGAACGGGUGAGUAAUGCAUCGGAACGUGCCCAAUCGUGGGGGAUAACGUAGCGAAAGUUACGCUAAUACCGCAUAAGCCCUGAGGGGGAAAGUGGGGGACCGCAAGGCCUCACGCGAAUGGAGCGGCCGAUGUCAGAUUAGCUAGUUGGUAGGGUAAAGGCCUACCAAGGCGACGAUCUGUAGCUGGUCUGAGAGGAUGGCCAGCCACACUGGAACUGAGACACGGUCCAGACUCCUACGGGAGGCAGCAGUGGGGAAUAUUGCGCAAUGGGCGAAAGCCUGACGCAGCCACGCCGCGUGAGUGAUGAAGGCCUCGGUUGUAAGACUCUGUCGGGAGGGAAGGAAGGGGACGAACCCGUACGACGGUACCGUCGCAA
rnacentral:rRNA from 1 species